GAAACUCAAAUGAAGUUGACGGGGCCCCGCACAAGCAGCGGAGCGUGUGGUUUAAUUCGAUGCUACACGAAGAGCCUUACCAGGGUUUGACAUACAAGUAGUAGGGAAAGGAAACUGGACCGACCCUUCGGGGAGCUUGUACAGGUGCUGCAUGGCUGUCGUCAGCUCGUGUCGUGAGAUGUUCGGUUAAGUCCGCUAACGAGCGCAACCCUCGCUGUGUGUUACAAGUGUCACACGGAACUGCCGGUCAUAAACCGGAGGAAGGUGGGGAUGACGUCAAGUCAGCAUGGCCUUUAUAUCCUGGGCUACACACACGCUACAAUGGGAAGGGACAAUAGGUUGCGAAGCCGCGAGGCGGAGCCAAUCCAGCAAAACUUCCCUCAGUUCAGAUUGCAGGCUGCAACUCGCCUGCAUGAAGUUGGAGUUGCUAGUAAACGCAGGUCAGCCAUACUGCGUUGAAUACGUUCCCGGGGCUU
rnacentral:rRNA from 1 species